UGAGGAUAAUUUGCCGAGUUCCUUCAUCCUACGUCAAACUAGUGUUAUUACGUAGGGGGUUCACCACCGGGAUUCUCUUUUGGUCUCGCUCUUGGAAUUACCAGUAAAAACAAUAUUUUCAAAUCUUCGUCAGCCCUACAGAUAAAAGCCUUUCACUUCUUCGCUGACCCAUUAUGCAAAAGUACA
rnacentral:rRNA from 1 species